rnacentral:tRNA from 1 species
CAAGGAAUAGUUUAAUGUUGUAGAAUUUUAGCUUUGGGAGCUAAGGGUAAGAGUUAAAAUCUCUUUUCUUUGA